CCUCCUCUUUUUUCUAAGUCCCAGAGCCUGAUUGGUUAAGUGCCCAGAGGAGUCAUGGUGACUCACAAUGGUUCUCAGACUUUGUGACCACAUGUAAUGGCAAGAUAUGGGCACUGGUUACCACCACCUGGGUGACUUCUAGGUCAGGGCUAAAUAUGGUGUGUUGGAGAGAGGCACUGGAAGAGGUGGAAGCUGGUACAGAUACUUGAGUACCAUCUCCAGACCUGCUCUUUGCAUGAUCGACUGUCUUGUCCCAGACCUCUUCGUGAAAUGAUGCGAAAUCUCUCCAUUAGCACUUUCUCUGUGGGGUUCACCGAAAUGUCCUAACAGUGUUCAUUGCAUUUCAACAGGUCUACUGGGCAAUGGUCAGUGACUCUGACCUUGAGAUCCAAUCACCCAGUGAAAGCUGAAAAGGAACUCAGUCCCAGACUUCCUUGGUUGUAUUCCUUCCAAAGCCAUCUGUAGCAUCAGCCAGUCAUGGAGAAAGGAUGCUCUGAAGUCAGUCCCAGCACACCCAUACCGAGCAUCAAGAGGAAGGCAGAUGAAUACUUAAAAUCCAUUUUGUCCUCCAAAAACGUGCUGAGCUUUCUACUUGGUAGGCAACUAGGGAGCCACAAAAAUGAUCUGGAUCUGUCAAAGUGGCUAUGGAUGCUGACACGAGCCACACCAGGGUGGAGGUGACCUUUGCCAAAAAACCACAUAACUUACCUGCUUACGCCUGCCAGCAAUUUUGGAAAAUGCAUAAAAAAGGCUUAGAAUAACAAACUCUUGCCUUGCUUCAGCUGUUAAAAUAAAAGCUGCAUUUUCACUUC